GACAUCACUGACUUUAACCAUCUCUAGGGCCAGAUAUUCCUGGGUGAAAAAGAGGGGCUUCUUGAGAGGAAAUGAAAGAAGACAGAGAUGUGGUUUUGCCUUAAAGUUUUCUGAUGUGAACAGCUGGAUUUUUUGAAAUUGAAAAAUGGGCCUUUCAUUUUGAAAUAGAAAGAUAGGACUGAAAGUGUGAUGUAAGUGCAGGCGUUUGGAGUCCCUCCUGGAGAACACAGAGAGCAAGUUUGGCUUUUGAGGAAAAAGGAGGAAGCCCAAUUCCACCCAGCACCCACUUCCCAUUUUACUUAAGGUCCAUGGGGUUACCCAGAAUGCCUCACCCCCUGCUUUGUCCAUAGAGAUGCCAGCCUGUGGUUAUUGGAACCCGGUCUGCCAGACCAAAGGGAGGAAGUCUGCCAGGCAGAUGUGGAGCCCAAAAGAGGAACUUCACCAACUGCUGUGGACAGCUCUAGUCCUUUAUGUCCCCGUGGACUUUUGGGGAAGUAUUUUUGUGGCUCAUCAGUCUCUUGUUAGGCAAGGGCCACUUGUCCUGGGUUGUCCUUUUCUACUAGUGGAAAGUACAGCUCGGAGAUUUGGAAUAGUUGCUGUUUGACUUUUAUUCUUAGCACAACUGUCACUAUGAGCCUUUUUGGUAAGAUCUCAAGCUGAAGUUUGUUGCUGAAGAUUGCAGAAUUCCUUCUAAACUUUGGAACCGUUUUGAAUCAUAAUUGGCAGUGGCUUUCUGAUGGCAUCUUGAGCAAACUCAGAGGAGAAGUCAUUACUUUGUCUCACAUGAAUACAACACUGGGUAAAUUACCUUGAACCUCUACCCAGGGGUGUGAUCUACAUUAUU